rnacentral:rRNA from 1 species
CCUACGGGUGGCAGCAGUGGGGAAUAUUGGACAAUGGGGGGAACCCUGAUCCAGCCAUGCCGCGUGUGUGAAGAAGGCCCUCGGGUUGUAAAGCACUUUCAGUGAGGAAGAACGCCUGGUGGUUAAUACCCAUCAGGAAAGACAUCACUCACAGAAGAAGCACCGGCUAACUCCGUGCCAGCAGCCGCGGUAAUACGGAGGGUGCGAGCGUUAAUCGGAAUUACUGGGCGUAAAGCGCGCGUAGGUGGCUUGAUAAGCCGGUUGUGAAAGCCCCGGGCUCAACCUGGGAACGGCAUCCGGAACUGUCAAGCUAGAGUGCAGGAGAGGAAGGUAGAAUUCCCGGUGUAGCGGUGAAAUGCGUAGAGAUCGGGAGGAAUACCAGUGGCGAAGGCGGCCUUCUGGACUGACACUGACACUGAGGUGCGAAAGCGUGGGUAGCAAACAGGAUUAGAUACCCGGGUAGUUC